UUCAAAGCUCCCCAGUGAUUCACAGAAAGCAAAUUCUGGAAAUUAGCUGAGAAUGGACCAGGAUGGUGACAACAGGACUGCCAGCAAGGGGAUGUUGGUGACUCUUGAACGGUGUCUGCAGACAACGUAUGGCAUGCCGAUGGGACUCAGUGACCUCCAGCUGCCAGCCCACGACCUGCUGCCUCACGAAGGGGCUGACGGGACUCUUUCAUCAACCCUUUCCAUGGCGCGCACUGGGG